rnacentral:rRNA from 1 species
GUAGGUGGCAAGCGUUGUCCGGAAUUAUUGGGCGUAAAGCGCGCGCAGGUGGGUUCUUUAAGUCUGAUGUGAAAGCCCCCGGGCUCAACCGGGGAGGGUCAUUGGAAACUGGGGAACUUGAGUGCAGGAGAGGAAAGUGGAAUUCCACGUGUAGCGGUGAAAUGCGUAGAUAUGUGGAGGAACACCAGUGGCGAAGGCGACUUUCUGGCCUGUAACUGACACUGAGGCGCGAAAACGUGGGGAGCAAACAGGAUUAGAUACCCUGGUAGUCCACGCCGUAAACGAUGAGUGCUAAGUGUUGGGGGGUUUCCGCCCCUCAGUGCUGCAGCUAACGCAUUAAGCACUCCGCCUGGGGAGUACGGUCGCAAAGACUG